rnacentral:rRNA from 1 species
AGUCACUGACAUUAGAUACCCCCGUAGUCCCAGCCGUAAACAAUGUGCGUUAGGUGUGUCGGUAACCACGCGUUACUGAUGCGCCGAAGAGAAAUCGUGAAACGCACCACCUGGGAAGUACGGUCGCAAGGCUGAAACUUAAAGGAACUGGCGGGGAGCACCACAACAGGUGGAGCCUGCGGUUUAAUUGGAUUCAACGCCGGACAUCUCACCGGAUAAGACAGCUGAAUGAUUGUCAAUCUGAAGGUUUUACAUGACUAGCUG